rnacentral:rRNA from 1 species
GGUUAAGCGACUAAGCGUACACGGUGGAUGCCCUGGCAGUCAGAGGCGAUGAAGGACGUGCUAAUCUGCGAUAAGCGUCGGUAAGGUGAUAUGAACCGUUAUAACCGGCGAUUUCCGAAUGGGGAAACCCAGUGUGAUUCGUCACACUAUCAUUAACUGAAUCCAUAGGUUAAUGAGGCGAACCGGGGGAACUGAAACAUCUAAGUACCCCGAGGAAAAGAAAUCAACCGAGAUUCCCCCAGUAGCGGCGAGCGAACGGGGAGCAGCCCAGAGCCUGAAUCAGUGUGUGUGUUAGUGGAAGCGUCUGGAAAGGCGCGCGAUACAGGGUGACAGCCCCGUACACAAAAAUGCACAUGCUGUGAGCUCGAUGAGUAGGGCGGGACACGUGGUAUCCUGUCUGAAUAUGGGGGGACCAUCCUCCAAGGCUAAAUACUCCUGACUGACCGAUAGUGAACCAGUACCGUGAGGGAAAGGCGAAAAGAACCCCGGCGAGGGGAGUGAAAAAGAACCUGAAACCGUGUACGUACAAGCAGUGGGAGCAC